UAGACCGCCUGGGGAGUACGGCCGCAAGGUUAAAACUCAAAUGAAUUGACGGGGGCCCGCACAAGCGGUGGAGCAUGUGGUUUAAUUCGAUGCAACGCGAAGAACCUUACCUGGUCUUGACAUCCACAGAACUUUCCAGAGAUGGAUUGGUGCCUUCGGGAACUGUGAGACAGGUGCUGCAUGGCUGUCGUCAGCUCGUGUUGUGAAAUGUUGGGUUAAGUCCCGCAACGAGCGCAACCCUUAUCCUUUGUUGCCAGCG
rnacentral:rRNA from 4 species